UACGUAGGGGGCAAGCGUUGUCCGGAAUUACUGGGCGUAAAGCGUGCGUAGGCGGUUCGUUAAGUUCGUUGUGAAAGCCCCGGGCUCAACCUGGGAAUGGCAAUGGAAACUGGCGGGCUGGAGUAUGGCAGAGGGGGGUGGAAUUCCGCGUGUAGCAGUGAAAUGCGUAGAGAUGCGGAGGAACACCGAUGGCGAAGGCAGCCCCCUGGGCCAAUACUGACGCUCAGGCACGAAAGCGUGGGGAGCAAACAGG
rnacentral:rRNA from 1 species